GAAAUAACAGUAGAGAGAAAAAGGGGGUCGAGGCCGGCGGGCCGACGCGUUGCCGGUUUGCUUGCCGCCGUUCGUUGUCGGAGGGCCGUCGCCGGCCGAUCUUCACGAAUCCGGGGUUUGUGCCCCCAGGGGAGGGGGUUUUGGCUGGGACCGGAGAUCGUGAGAGUUGCUGCGAUGGAGGACAUCAUCGUGGUCGACUUAUGUCCGGAUCUUAAGAGGGAAGAGCUGCCGUCAUGCGAGGCGGAUGUGGGAUGCUCAGAACUCCCCCGGGAACGAAAUGGGUUGGCAAGGGGCGGGAUUGUUUCCUUGGGCGUCAGAGUCUUUGCAAAUAUUUUGACUGUUUGAAGCACCGGCUGAGUCAGUUACUCUGCGAUUCUCAAAGAAUGAAUGCUCAUGUUUUUAAGCUUCUGCUUCAAGGGUCCCCAACAGAGGUUUGCGUGAAGGAUUGUUCUUGGCUAACAGAGGAAGAGUUCACAAAAUGUUUGCAGAACUUUGAUCCGAGCAACUUAAUGUGUUGUUUUGGUCGAAUCUUUUUUUAUUUGGAAGAAGUAAAUCUAUCGCUUCUAGUUUGGAAGGCAUGUACUAUUGAAGAAGUAAAUAAUUGGGUGGUAGCAUAUCUUCAAAGGCGGGCUUUCAAGAUUAGACCACGUUCCUUGGGAGUUGGCAAAGGCACGUAUAGAAGCUUUCCAAACCUACCAGGUCGCAAACGAGCUUUCUCCAUCACCUCAGGUCUGCAGCAAAAACAAAUGGAUUGUCACAUGCUUGCAUAGGGAAAACAAAAAGAAAAAAAAGAGAAAGAGAAAGAAAAAUAGGUUGUUGACAACAUUGGGUUUGAUCCUGAGAGAGUGUAUCUUGAUCUACACUUAGAAAGCUGAAGGAUGAGAUUGCAAAGAAUUUGAAGAUAGCUUGGAAAUUUGGGAGAAAGCCAAACUCAAACAAGAUUUAAAGUACUACUCUUUGCUCAUGUAUUUUUGGAUUCUUUUUGUUA